CCCGCCCCCCCUCCAUCUCCCACACCCACUAACCCAGUCUCCAGUAGUGUUUUUUAUUAAUAUUAAUUCAUCGUCUUCUUUUGUUUUCUGUUGCCGCCGCUGCUGCCUUCUGCUACUGCUCAGUGGUAUCACCCAUAUGAGAGAAGAAACAAGGAGAGGAGGAGGAAGAAAUGGAGAAUCAAAACCUGACGCCGUCCCACCAUUUGGAUGCAUCUCGGCCCUCUCUUGGCUUCCCUCUUGGCACGGCACUCCUCUUGAUCGUCAUAUUCGGCUUGAGUGGGGUAUUCUCUUGUUGCUACCAUUGGGAAAAGCUUCGAUCCCUCCGUCGUUCAUUCUCGCAAGACACCACCGAUGCCGACGAAGACACUCUCCAACAACCACCAUCCAAAUCUAAGCCCACUUCCAUGAGCUCCAAGCAGAAUCAAAACGAGAGCUUACCAGUACUGAUGCCCGGCGAUCAGAUCCCAAAAUUUAUAGCACUGCCAUGUCCGUGUGAACCGCCGCGAGAGGAGAUGGUCGCGAUCGUAGUGCAGAAACCACCACCUAUAGUGGUGCCUUUUUAUUAUAAUUAAAGCAGGAGGAAACUCAUUAGGUAUUGUAAUGGGGAUUCAAUUAAAAUUGCCUUUGUAAAUGAAGAGAGGUUCGUCGUUCCUUUGUAGGAAAAAAAAAAAAAAACAGAGGUUUUAUCAUAAGUCAUUGUUCAUACCAAAUUAACUAAAAAUGCAGAAUCCACUCUGUAAAUUAUCAAGCCCAUUUGUUUAUAUCAAAAAAUGUUUGAGGGAAAUCUAUAUAUAAACAUGUUCAUUCUGUUUCCAAGCCCAUUUGUCUUGUACUUUAUAUUUUCCCCCCUUUCCUAGGGCUUGGAAACAGAGAGCGAGCGAGCGAGCUUGUUGGGAGCUGUUGUGUCGUGGCAAGAUUGGGUAUUUUAUUUUAAGGCAGUUUAUGGAUGUCUGGUACAGCUAGAGCUCAGAGCCGCUGCUGGUAGCCAGUAAGAGAUGUAUAGAGUCUUUCUGAAUUCUGAGUGGUGCUUCUGUAAAUUUCUGGGAUGUCUAUUCCUGGAGUAGUGUAGUGUGUAAAAGUUGUUUGGAUGAUCCAAACAGCAAACUUAACAAGUGUAAUGACUUUCAUGAUUCAUGAACCAAAAAAACAAGAAGCUACAUAUCUAUUGUUUCAGUGAUCACCCCACUCUGGUGGUACAUUAUUGAUUAUACUCCACAAGUACACACAACGAAGAACUAAAACCCCUAUAGAGAGAAAAAGGUUGGUGCACAAACUAGGGGGCAACUGAGUACAGGCAUCCGAUUUGAAGGUCUAUAUGGUGGCCCCAAGACUGAAGUGUUUACAUGUAUAUUCUCCUACACUUGAUUCAAUUUCCAUUCAAUCUGUAACAAAAAUGUAGGGGAUGGGAUUCAAAUUGUGAGUGCUGUUUCCACUCCAGAGUUUGUGCCAAUUUCUCUCUUUCUCAAAUGGAUCAAAAGAAGCAGCAGUAGUGACGGGUGCUGCAACCCAAUAAGAGGGUUAAUGAGCAUUUCACUCGUGUCAUACAGAUCAUGUAUAAAUGGGCAUUUGAUUAUGUGAUUAUUUGAAUAUAGUA